AACAAACGCUGGCGGCGUGCCUAAUACAUGCAAGUCGAACGGGGAAAGCUUUCGGGUGAGUACUAGUGGCGCACGGGUGAGUAACGCGUGGAUAAUCUGCCUUAGAGUGGGGGAUAACUAGUCGAAAGAUUAGCUAAUACCGCAUAAGACCACAAGAACUGCGGUUCAAGGGGUCAAAGGUUUUUCGCUCUAAGAUGAGUCCGCGUAAGAUUAGCUAGUUGGUAGGGUAACGGCCUACCAAGGCGACGAUCUUUAACUGGUCUGAGAGGAUGAGCAGUCACACUGGAACUGAGACACGGUCCGGACUCCUACGGGAGGCAGCAGUAGGGAAUAUUGCACAAUGGAGGAAACUCUGAUGCAGCGACGCCGCGUGAGUGAUGAAGGCCUUCGGGUCGUAAAGCUCUGUCGCAGGGGAAUAACACAAUGAAGGUACCCUGUAAGAAAGGAUCGGCUAACUUCGUGCCAGCAGCCGCCGUAACAC
rnacentral:rRNA from 1 species